rnacentral:rRNA from 1 species
GAUGAACGCUGGCGGCGUGCCUAAUACAUGCAAGUCGAGCGAACAGACGAGGAGCUUGCUCCUCUGACGUUAGCGGCGGACGGGUGAGUAACACGUGGAUAACCUACCUAUAAGACUGGGAUAACUUCGGGAAACCGGAGCUAAUACCGGAUAAUAUAUUGAACCGCAUGGUUCAAUAGUGAAAGACGGUUUUGCUGUCACUUAUAGAUGGAUCCGCUCCGCAUUAGCUAGUUGGUAAGGUAACGGCUUACCAAGGCAACGAUGCGUAGCCGACCUGAGAGGGUGAUCAGCCACACUGGAACUGAGACACGGUCCAGACUCCUACGGGAGGCAGCAGUAGGGAAUCUUCCGCAAAGGGCGAAAGCCUGACGGAGCAACGCCGCGUGAGUGAUGAAGGUCUUCGGAUCGUAAAACUCUGUUAUUAGGGAAGAACAAAUGUGUAAGUAACUAUGCACGUCUUGACGGUACCUAAUCAGAAAGCCACGGCUAACUACGUG